UACGUAGGGUGCGAGCGUUAAUCGGAAUUACUGGGCGUAAAGCGUGCGCAGGCGGUUUUGUAAGCCAGAUGUGAAAGCCCCGGGCUUAACCUGGGAAUGGCAUUUGGGACUGCAAGGCUUGAGUGCGGCAGAGGAGACUGGAAUUCCUGGUGUAGCAGUGAAAUGCGUAGAUAUCAGGAGGAAUACCGAUGGCGAAGGCAGGUCUCUGGGCUGACACUGACGCUCAUGCACGAAAGCGUGGGGAGCAAACAGGAUU
rnacentral:rRNA from 1 species